UACGUAGGGUCCGAGCGUUUGUCCGGAAUUAUUGGGCGUAAAGAGCUCGUAGGCGGUCUGUCGCGUCGGCUGUGAAAACACGGGGCUCAACUCCGUGCCUGCAGUCGAUACGGGCAGACUAGAGUUCGGUAGGGGAGACUGGAAUUCCUGGUGUAGCGGUGAAAUGCGCAGAUAUCAGGAGGAACACCGGUGGCGAAGGCGGGUCUCGUGGGCCGAAACUGACGCUGAGGAACGAAAGCGUGGGGAGCGAACAGG
rnacentral:rRNA from 1 species